AACAGUAUGGCAUCACCAAGAAAUCCCACCUGCAUUAAAGAAAGUCACCAAGAGGAAGAGCACGUGGUGAGCAGUGAGAUGUUGGUGGGCUUGUUAACCUCUUUACAAGUGGACUGACCUUAGUAAAAAGAAGCUGAAACAUUCGUAUCAGAAUUGCUUGUAUCUUUCAUUGUGUGCUGUUUUAACUUCAUUGCAGUGUGCGGCAAGUGGCAAUUGCUUAGUGAAAUGACUGAUAUUUAAAUUGGAGGAAGUCCUCCAGUUUUUUAGUGGGAUAUCUGGGGAUGUUUCAGUUCGGUCUCCAUGCAACUUAGGUUGGUUAUGGUGUAAUCUUGGCGUUCAAAUCUCUGGGCACCUGGCCUGGUGCUAGUCAGUUCUAGAUUGGAAUCUUGCCUCUGACACCAAUUUUGAGCUAGCUAAUCACUUGGAACUUGCCUUUCCAUUAUACAAGGGGAAUGAUCUCUUUACCUUUUAGGAUAAAUGUCAAGUUUCUGCAGCACAGUGACUGUUCGUGUGUUAGUUCCUUGCCACUCCCUAGCCCAGAUAAACUUCCCUGCAAAGUUAGUGUCCACUUUUGCUUAAAAUUCAUAAAUAAUGCUUUCCUUAUGCUCUCAUUUUCUUUUCAAGUGAAGAGGUCAGGUGAACACACUUCAUAGAUACAGAAGCUCAGAAAAAUGAUUUGCCUAAGGCUUGUUUAAAAUAAAGUAGGUGGCUACUGUAGUUGGUGACAUGGAGUAUAGCUGCAGACCAGGAUUCAGUUUCACUAGCUCUUGCCUAAGGAGGAGCCUACAGAUGCUUAGGCUGCUAUGAAGUCCUCUUGCUUCCCAGGUUACUGCUUUAGUCACACCCAUAGAAGGAAUCCAGUCCAUGGAACCUGUGAUGGGAGCAAGAGUAUGGUUUUGCAACCUUGGGAAAAUCAUUCUGAAUCUAUUUCUCUGUCUAAAAUUGGAACCACCUCAUCAGGCCAAUGGAGCAGUGAAUGAAAACAUGAAAAUGAUUGUGUACUGCCUAGCAUGGUUCAUGAAUCCAAUAACAUGGGGAGAGAAGUCCAGCAGGCACGGGGCUUGUACUAUCAGGAGGCAUCUAUCACACAGUUCAAGCAAACUUGGCAGCUCCGUGGAAUCCACUGAACGCAAGGCCUUCAUGCUAGUGGGGGAGGAAGGCGGCAGGAGCAUUUGCCACUCAAAAGGCAAAGGUGCUCAAGACCUGUGGAAUGCAUGCACCUACCCUCCUGGACUCUCCACCUACGGGUCACACUGGCCAGCAGGUGGAGCUGCUGGUUCACCUCCUUGUCAGAGUCCGUGUAACCUGGGAAGGCCAGCUGGACAGGAGUUAGAAUCCUGUUUGAGUCAGGUCUUGAGCCAUUCUCUCCACAUGUUAUGGUCAAGCACCCAGUCUUCUAGUCGGCACUGUCCCUGGCUAAGCUUUGUCUAUAUAUGCUUUGACCUGUGCAGAGCAACCCUUACUUGCGCAUGCUCAGACUUGCUUAAUGGCGACUCCCUGGCAGAAAUCUUGUGUCAUGCAGAGAGUGAUAGGGGAGUGUGGGUGCAGUUUGUUGGGAAGAUUGCGUGA
ensembl:lncRNA